rnacentral:tRNA from 1 species
GCCCCUGUGGCGGAAUUGGUAGACGCGCCUGACUCAAAAUCAGGUAAUGGCAACAUUGUGCUGGUUCGAGUCCGGCCAGGGGCACCA